rnacentral:rRNA from 1 species
GACGAACGCUGGCGGCGUGCUUAACACAUGCAAGUCGAACGGAAAGGCCCUGCUUUUGUGGGGUGCUCGAGUGGCGAACGGGUGAGUAACACGUGAGUAACCUGCCCUUGACUUUGGGAUAACUUCAGGAAACUGGGGCUAAUACCGGAUAGGAGCUCCUGCUGCUUGGUGGGGGUUGGAAAGUUUCGGCGGUUGGGGAUGGACUCGCGGCUUAUCAGCUUGUUGGUGGGGUAGUGGCUUACCAAGGCUUUGACGGGUAGCCGGCCUGAGAGGGUGACCGGCCACAUUGGGACUGAGAUACGGCCCAGACUCCUACGGGAGGCAGCAGUGGGGAAGAUUGCACAAUGGGCGGAAGCCUGAUGCAGCAACGCCGCGUGCGGUAUGACGGCCUUCGGGUUGUAAACCGCUUUCGCCUGUGACGAAGCGUGAGUGACGGUAAUGGGUAAAGAAGCACCGGCUAACUACGUG